GUAGGGUGCAAGCGUUAAUCGGAAUUACUGGGCGUAAAGCGUGCGCAGGCGGGGUUUGUAAGUCUGACGUGAAAGCCCCGGGGCUCAACCUGGGAAUUGCGUUGGAGACUGCAAGGCUUGAAUCUGGCAGAGGGGGGUAGAAUUCCACGUGUAGCAGUGAAAUGCGUAGAGAUGUGGAGGAACACCGAUGGCGAAGGCAGCCCCCUGGGUCAAGAUUGACGCUCAUGCACGAAAGCGUGGGGAGCAAACAGGAUUAGAUACCCUGGUAGUCCACGCCCUAAACGAUGUCUACUAGUUGUCGGGUCUUAAUUGACUUGGUAACGCAGCUAACGCGUGAAGUAGACCGCCUGGGGAGUACGGUCGCAAGAUUA
rnacentral:rRNA from 1 species